rnacentral:rRNA from 1 species
GUGUCAGCAGCCGCGGUAAUACGAAGGAUCCAAGCGUUGUCCGGAUUUACUGGGUUUAAAGGGAGCGUAGGCGGAACAUUAAGUCAGUGGUGAAAGCCUGGAGCUUAACUUCAGAAUUGCCAUUGAAACUGAUGUUCUCGAGUAUUGUUGAGGUUACUGGAAUGUUGCAUGUAGCGGUGAAAUGCUUAGAUAUGCAACAGAACACCAAUUGCGAAGGCAGGUAACUAAGCGAUAACUGACGCUGAGGCUCGAAAGCGUGGGGAGCAAACAGGAUUAGAUACCCUAGUAGUCC